ncrna:unclassified sequences ssnA RNA
UUGGUUGUGGCUGCAACGAAGUGCUUCGCGCACGGGCUGGAUGGAUCU